rnacentral:rRNA from 1 species
AUUGAACGCUGGCGGCAGGCUUAACACAUGCAAGUCGAGCGGAGAUGAGGUGCUUGCACCUUAUCUUAGCGGCGGACGGGUGAGUAAUGCUUAGGAAUCUGCCUAUUAGUGGGGGACAACAUUCCGAAAGGAAUGCUAAUACCGCAUACGUCCUACGGGAGAAAGCAGGGGAUCUUCGGACCUUGCGCUAAUAGAUGAGCCUAAGUCGGAUUAGCUAGUGGUGGGGUAAAGGCCUACCAAGGCGACGAUCUGUAGCGGGUCUGAGAGGAUGAUCCGCCACACUGGGACUGAGACACGGCCCAGACUCCUACGGGAGGCAGCAGUGGGGAAUAUUGGACAAUGGGGGGAACCCUGAUCCAGCCAUGCCGCGUGUGUGAAGAAGGCCUUUUGGUUGUAAAGCACUUUAAGCGAGGAGGAGGCUUACCUAGUUAAUACCUGGGAUAAGUGGACGUUACUCGCAGAAUAAGCACCGGCUAACUCUGUGCCAGCCGCCGCUGUAAGAC